rnacentral:rRNA from 1 species
GGCGUAAAGCGCGCGUAGGCGGCUAAUUAAGUCAAAUGUGAAAUCCCCGAGCUUAACUUGGGAAUUGCAUUCGAUACUGGUUAGCUAGAGUGUGGGAGAGGAUGGUAGAAUUCCAGGUGUAGCGGUGAAAUGCGUAGAGAUCUGGAGGAAUACCGAUGGCGAAGGCAGCCAUCUGGCCUAACACUGACGCUGAGGUGCGAAAGCAUGGGGAGCAAACAGGAUUAGAUACCCUGGUAGUCCAUGCCGUAAACGAUGUCUACUAGCCGUUGGGGCCUUUGAGGCUUUAGUGGCGCAGCUAACGCGAUAAGUAGACCGCCUGGGGAGUACGGUCGCAAGACUAAAACUCAAAUGAAUUGACGGGGGCCCGCACAAGCGGUGGAGCAUGUGGUUUAAUUCGAUGCAACGCGAAGAACCUUACCUGGCCUUGACAUAGUAAGAACUUUCCAGAGAUGGAUUGGUGCCUUCGGGAACUUACAUACAGGUGCUGCAUGGCUGUCGUCAGCUCGUGUCGUGAGAUGUUGGGUUAAGUCCCGCAACGAGCGCAACCCUUUUCCUUAUUUGCCAGCGAGUAAUGUCGGGAACUUUAAGGAUACUGCCAGUGACAAACUGGAGGAAGGCGGGGACGACGUCAAGUCAU